GAAAGUUCAACCCUGCAGGGAGGAUCAGAACAGCAGUGCUGGAAACAUUGGAAAAUAUAAUAAAUAUGUAGCCAAGAAGAUUACAUCAUGUCACAUACUAUUUCAUACACUGAGAAACUCAAGUAGAAGAAACUGAACAGCUGAAGAUAUGAAAACAUUUGAAGGAGUUUUUGGAAACGUUAACACAGCUUAAAGGAAACAAUAAGAUACACAAAGAUUCUUCUAUAAGAUAAAGAGCUUUGUUACGUUCACAAAUAAUGCAAGUCUCAUUGCUUACUCUGUGAAUCUCAUCACCUAAGGCACCAAUGUUAUUGCUGCUUAUAGAGAUGUUUUAUUAUAUCUGGCUCGUGGAAAUGAGAUCUCCUGCCAAUAUAACAGCUCUUCCAAGACGUUUGUACAUGUCAGCAGGCUAAGCAGACAAUUUCUGAGCACUCGGAAAAUUGGUCGUUUAUUUCUGUUCACCAUCAUCCAUCCAUCCUCAGUCUGUAUACCAUCACAAUCUUCCGGGUGCUGUAUUGCCUGACUGUCAUCUCCUUCACCUAUUUGCGCUGUCAUCCAUAUGCCAUCAUCAUUCAGUUCCUGUCAUCUAUUGGAGACACCAGAACUUCUCUACAAGGCAUAACUGCUUCCAUCAGACGUACAGCAGCUCGAGCCUAACGCAAUUCCUGCCCGAUUUGGCCUUGUCCUGGUUUUACAUUACGAUGAGAGGACGCCGAGUGGAUUUACACACCACAUUUUAUAGUAACCGCUAUAUUGUGUUGUGAUGACAACAGAUUUUGUCACAUAAACCUGUGUUCCCCAACUCCAGCCCUCGGGGCCCACCUUCCGGUCAUGCUUUCAGGAUUUCCUUAGUAUUGAGCAGGUGAUACUUCAGGCAUUCCUUCUGUGGGAUAUUCUCAAAUCCUGACCGGUAGGUGGGCCCUCAGGACUGGAGUUGGGGAACACUGACAUAAAUAAAACAAAACGUUAUAUUCUCUCCAUACAGGAAAACAUACAUUUCUCCAACUAGUGCCUAGCAUUCCCCAUGAUCCUGCAAGAGCGCCAAUUGGAAGGGUAUGGUACCAGAUUUUCAGUGGAAUUUUCAAGAUGGAUAUGCCGCGGAUUUGUUGUGGAUUUCACACUACACAUUGCCUAGGGUUAUUCGCAGCAUAAGUUGACAUACUUUAAAGCGAACCUGUCAACUUGAAAACACAACGCAAUCUGCGGGAAGCAGGUCAUAUUGCAAGAGGCGUUGACCAGAUUGAUAUAUAGUUUUGUGGUAAAAAUUUAGUAUAACCUGUAUUUCAUUCAUAUAAAUUCCUGCUCAUUCUGGGCUUUGACUUCCAGGAGGCGGUGCUAUCAGUGACUGACAGCUCUCUCUGUAUACACAGUCAUAGAGGGACGGCUGUUAAUCCCCGAUUACUUCUUGACUUCGAGGACUAUAAUAAGCAGGAAUCUAUAUGAAUGAAAUACAGGUAAGGCUACAUUCACACGUCAGUAUUUUUCUAUAUCCCGAAUUUCGGUCCGUUUUUUGCGAUCCGUUGUUCCUGAAAAUGUUUCCGUAUGUCAUCCGUUUUUUGCGGAUCCGCAAAAAA